GAUGAACGCUGGCGGCGUGCCUAAUACAUGCCAGUCGAGCGAACGGACGAGAAGUUUGCUUCUCUGACGUUAGCGGCGAACGGGUGAGUAACAUGUGUAUAACCCACCUAUAAUACUGGGAUAACUUCGGGAAACCGUAUCUAAUACCGGAUAAUAUUUUGAACCGCAAGGUUCAAAAGUGAAAGACGGUCUUGCUGUCACUUAUAGAUGUAUCCGCGCUGCAGUAGCUAGUUGGUCAGGUAACGGCUUACCAAGUCGACGAUGCAUAGCCGAGCUGAGAGGGUGAUCGGCCACAAGGGAACGGAGAGACGGUCCAGACUCCUACGGGAGGCAGCAGUAGGGAAUCUUGCGCAAGGGGCGAAAGCCUGACGGAGCAACGACGCGUGAGUGAUGAAGGUCUUCGGAUCGUAAAACUCUGUUAGUAGGGAAGAACAUAUCUGUAAGUAACUGUGCACAUCGUGACGGUACCUGAAGAGAAAGCCACGGCUAACUACGUG
rnacentral:rRNA from 1 species